rnacentral:lncRNA from 1 species
GUACUUUUAAUAAUAAUUAUUAUUUUAAUAAAAAAAUAUUAAUAAUUUAUAAGGAUUAUUAUAUUAUUUUUUAUUCCUUUCAAAUUUUGCUGGUGACUGCUCUUGCAGCAAUGGGAACAAUAACUGUUGGUGCUGUUGUUAAAAAUUAUUUAUCAUGGAAAACAAAGCAAAAGAAAGACACCAGUUCGCUUGGAAGAUCCAACAGCCAAGAAUCAAUUGCCUUUAAUUGAAAAAGAGAUAUUAGUUCAUAUACAAGAAGAUUUAGAUUUGGUUUACGAACACCAGAACAUGUAUCUGGUUUACCACUUGGUCAGCAUGUUCAUUUGAUAGCCACAACUAAUGAUGAAAUUGUUAUCCGACCAUAUACAUUAUAUUUUUAAUCCUUAAAAUGUGAUUAAAUUAGUAAAAUAAAUAAUUUGUUUAAACAGGAUACGACAAGAUCAACAACAGUUAGUCCAAGUAUAAUAAUUGACAAAUGCAAAGAAGACACACUACCAUCAGUACCAAGAAAAUGCACAUGAACUUUGACAUAAUCUUCUUGAGGGUAUAAAACGUGCAUAUUUAAAUGAAGCAAGUUAACUUGAUAGAAACAACACCGAUUAAUCAAAUAUUUGGUGGUUACAUAGGUACUAAAGUUGGAUGAUGUCGUCAUUGUCGUCAUAUACCUAUAUUUAAACAGCAUUUUUACAUUUUUAAGAUUUACUUUUUGAUAUUAUAAAAGCAAGUACACUUGAUGAAGCAUCAUAAAAUUAUUUUAGUCGUCAACAACUUGAUAAUAAUGAUUAUAAAUAAGGAUUCUGUCAAAGAUGUGUACCACUAACCAAAAAAUUUAGUUUAUAACAAACACCCAAAGUUUUAUGUGUGCAAGUAACAUGUUUUGUACUUGGUGGUAACAUAUCAUGUUGUAUUGAAUUUAAACAAACAAUUAAUAUGGGACAAUAUUUAUAGCGUGAAAAUAAUGAAAAAACACUUAAAUUAAAUUAUAAAUUAAUGUCAAUUGUAGCACAUGGGACUAUCUCUUAAUUGUGGUCAUUAUAUUGCUGCUGCACAAGUAAAAGCUAGACAAUAUUAUACAUUUGAUGAUUUAUCAGUACGCUCAAUUAAUUUUUCAAAUAUGAACACAAAUCCAUAUACCUAUUAUAAUAUAUUUGAAAUAGAAAAAUCAUCACAUGAUCAAUUAAUAAAUAAUCCGAACCAAUGAUGAUCAAUUACAACAACAACAGCACCAACAGUUAAGAUAUUAAUACAGCUUUUAUCAAUUUAUCUAAUAAUUGUUAAUAAUAAAUAAUAAAUAAAUCAUAAUAUA